rfam:Cavia porcellus supercont2_109 genomic scaffold, whole genome shotgun sequence.
GGGGAUUUAGCUCAGCGGCUUAAGCACCUGCCUUACAAGCAGGCGGUCCUGAGUUCAAUCCCCC